rnacentral:rRNA from 1 species
UACGGAGGGUGCGAGCGUUGUCCGGAAUCACUGGGCGUAAAGGGCGCGUAGGCGGCUCGGUAAGCGUGUGGUGAAAGCCUGGGGCUCAACCCCGGGUCGGCCAUGCGAACUGUCGAGCUGGAGCACUGUAGAGGCAGGCGGAAUUCCGGGUGUAGCGGUGGAAUGCGUAGAGAUCCGGAAGAACACCGGUGGCGAAGGCGGGUCUCUGGGCCGAUACUGACGCUGAGGAGCGAAAGCGUGGGGAGCGAACAGG